UUUGCAGGCUACACAGGAGGCAUGGCAGCAUUUGCUUCUGAAGAGGGCUCAGGGAGAUUUUACUCAUGGUGGAAGACAAAGUGGGAUCUGGCACCUUACAUGGCAGGAGCAGAAGACAGAGAAUCAACUUGACAGUUUCUAAAAAAUAUUUUUGAGAUUUGGAUUGAGAUGGUACUGAAUCUGUAGCUCUGCUGAGGAGAACUGGUAUUUUAAUAUGAUUGCAUCUUCCAAUCAACAUACAAGAGAGUCUCUCUCUGCUGCCCAGGCAAGAAUGUAAAGACAUAAUGAGACGUCACUGCAUCCUCAAACCCUUUGGCUCAUGUGAUCCUCCCACCUCAGCCUCCCAAGUAGCUGGGAUUACAGGUACACACCACCAUGCCCAGCUAAUGUUUUAAUCUCUUUGCAGAGACAGGGGCUUGCUAUGUCGCGCAGGCUGGUCAACUCCUGGUCUUAAGCAAUCCUCCCACCUCAGCCUCCCAAAGUGCUGAGAGUUACUGAAUACAGGCAUGAACAACCACGCUUCCCUAUAUUCAGCAACUUCUUGGAGUUCAUUUAUUCAUUCUAAUAGUUUAUCAGGGUGGUUUUUUGGGGGGCUACUUUCAUAUAC